GAUGAACGCUGGCGGCGUGCCUAAUACAUGCAAGUCGAGCGAACGGACGAGAAGCUUGCUUCUCUGAUGUUAGCGGCGGACGGGUGAGUAACACGUGGAUAACCUACCUAUAAGACUGGGAUAACUUCGGGAAACCGGAUCUAAUACCGGAUAAUAUUUUGAACCGCAUGGUUCAAAAGUGAAAGACGGUCUUUCUGUCACUUAUAGAUGGAUCCGCGCUGCAUUAGCUAGUUGGUAAGGUAACGGCUUACCAAGGCAACGAUGCAUAGCCGACCUGAGAGGGUGAUCGGCCACACUGGAACUGAGACACGGUCCAGACUCCUACGGGAGGCAGCAGUAGGGAAUCUUACGCAAUGGGCGAAAGCCUGACGGAGCAACGCCGAGUGAGUGAUGAAGGUCUUCGGAUCGUAAAACUCUGUUAUGAGGGAAGAACAUAUGUGUAAGUAACUGUGCACAUCUUGACGGUACCUAAUAAGAAAGCCACGGCUAACUACGUG
rnacentral:rRNA from 1 species